rnacentral:lncRNA from 1 species
GCAGUAUUGGAGCCCAACGUGUUAAUAGCACUGUCCCCCAGAUGAGGGACACACAUACGUUAAUAUUUGCUCACAGANAAUCAUUAUUCAUCUGNUUUUCAUAACCAUUUUCCCACAUCCUACAGGGUUCAAGUUAAUUUGGAUUGCAAAAAGCGAUAAAAAGAAUUUUAACUCAGGGUUACACUUUCUUCCUGCUCAUCAAAGGGUU